rnacentral:rRNA from 1 species
AACGAACGCUGGCGGCAGGCUUAACACAUGCAAGUCGAACGGGUGUAGCAAUACAUCAGUGGCAGACGGGUGAGUAACACGUGGGAACCUUCCUAGGGGUACGGAACAACUCAGGGAAACUUGAGCUAAUACCGUAUACGUCCGUAAGGAGAAAGAUUCAUCGCCCCUAGACGGGCCCGCGUCGGAUUAGGUAGUUGGUGGGGUAACGGCCUACCAAGCCUACGAUCCGUAGCUGAUCUGAGAGGAUGAUCAGCCACACUGGGACUGAGACACGGCCCAGACUCCUACGGGAGGCAGCAGUGGGGAAUCUUGGACAAUGGGCGCAAGCCUGAUCCAGCCAUGCCGCGUGAGUGAAGAAGGCCUUAGGGUUGUAAAGCUCUUUUACCAGGGACGAUAAUGACGGUACCUGGAGAAUAAGCCCCGGCAAACUUCGUGCCAGCCGCCGCCGUAAC